rnacentral:rRNA from 1 species
UACGUAGGAGGCGAGCGUUGUCCGGAAUUACUGGGCGUAAAGAGCGCGUAGGCGGCGCGGUACGACCGCUGUGAAAGCCCCCAGCUCAACUGGGGAGGGUCAGCGGUAACGGCCGUGCUUUGAGUGCAGGAGAGGGAAGUGGAACUCCGGGAGUAGCGGUGAAAUGCGUAGAGACCCGGAGGAACACCAGUGGCGAAGGCGGCUUCCUGGUCUGCGACUGACGCUGUGGCGCGAAAGCAUGGGGAGCAAACAGG